rnacentral:rRNA from 1 species
CUGCGGCAGCGACACUGUGUGUUGUUGGGUAGGGGAGCGUUCUGUAAGCCUGCGAAGGUGGCCUGUGAGGGUUGCUGGAGGUAUCAGAAGUGCGAAUGCUGACAUAAGUAACGAUAAAGCGGGUGAAAAGCCCGCUCGCCGGAAGACCAAGGGUUCCUGUCCAACGUUAAUCGGGGCAGGGUGAGUCGACCCCUAAGGCGAGGCCGAAAGGCGUAGUCGAUGGGAAACGGGUUAAUAUUCCCGUACUUGGUGUUACUGCGAAGGGGGGACGGAGAAGGCUAUGUUGGCCGGGCGACGGUUGUCCCGGUUUAAGCGUGUAGGUGUGUGUUCCAGGUAAAUCCGGUUCACUUUAACACUGAGGCGUGACGACGAGGCACUACGGUGCUGAAGCAACAAAUGCCCUGCUUCCAGGAAAAGCCUCUAAGCAUCAGGUAACAUCAAAUCGUACCCCAAACCGACACAGGUGGUCAGGUAGAGAAUACCAAGGCGCUUGAGAGAACUCGGGUGAAGGAACUAGGCAAAAUGGUGCCGUAACUUCGGGAGAAGGCACGCUGACACGUAGGUGAAGUGAUUUACUCAUGGAGCUGAAGUCAGUCGAAGAUACCAGCUGGCUGCAACUGUUUAUUAAAAACACAGCACUGUGCAAACACGAAAGUGGACGUAUACGGUGUGACGCCUGCCCGGUGCCGGAAGGUUAAUUGAUGGGGUCAGCGCAAGCGAAGCUCCUGAUCGAAGCCCCGGUAAACGGCGGCCGUAACUAUAACGGUCCUAAGGUAGCGAAAUUCCUUGUCGGGUAAGUUCCGACCUGCACGAAUGGCGUAAUGAUGGCCAGGCUGUCUCCACCCGAGACUCAGUGAAAUUGAACUCGCUGUGAAGAUGCAGUGUACCCGCGGCAAGACGGAAAGACCCCGUGAACCUUUACUAUAGCUUGACACUGAACAUUGAGCCUUGAUGUGUAGGAUAGGUGGGAGGCUUUGAAGUGUGGACGCCAGUCUGCAUGGAGCCGACCUUG